UUGGAGGGCAAGUCUGGUGCCAGCAGCCGCGGUAAUUCCAGCUCCAAUAGCGUAUAUUAAAGUUGUUGCAGUUAAAAAGCUCGUAGUUGAAUUUCGGGAUCAAUUUAUCGGUCGUGCCUACGGUAUGAACUGGUACAAUUGGUUUCUCCCUUCUGACGAAGCAUGAUGUCAUUAAUUUGGUGUCGUGGGGAAUCAGGACUGUUACUUUGAAAAAAUUAGAGUGUUUAAAGCAAGCAUUAGCUUGAAUACAUUAGCAUGGAAUAAUGAAAUAGGACGUUUGAUCCUAUUUCGUUGGUUUCUAGGAUCGACGUAAUGAUUAAUAGGGAUAGUUGGGGGCAUUAGUAUUCGAUUGUCAGAGGUGAAAUUCUUGGAUUUAUUGAAGACUAACUACUGCGAAAGCAUUUGCCAAGGAUGUUUUCAUUAAUCAAGAACGAAAGUUAGGGGAUCGAAGACGAUCAGAUACCGUCGUAGUCUUAACCAUAAACUAUGCCGACUAGGGAUCGGAUGAUGUUAAUUUUUUAAUGACUCAUUCGGCGCCUUACGGGAAAC
rnacentral:rRNA from 1 species